CGGACGGGUGAGUAAUGUCUGGGAAACUGCCUGAUGGAGGGGGGUAACUACUGGAAACGGUAGCUAUACCGCAUAACGUCGCAAGACCAAAGAGGGGGACCUUCGGGCCUCUUGCCAUCGGAUGUGCCCAGAUGGGAUUAGCUAGUAGGUGGGGUAAAGGCUCACCUAGGCGACGAUCCCUAGCUGGUCUGAGAGGAUGACCAGCCACACUGGAACUGAGACACGGUCCAG
rnacentral:rRNA from 1 species